rnacentral:rRNA from 1 species
GACGAACGCUGGCGGCGUGCUUAACACAUGCAAGUCGAACGGAAAGGCCAUGCUUUUGUGGGGUGCACGAGUGGCGAACGGGUGAGUAUCGCGUGUGUAACCUGCCCUUGACUUUCGGAUAACUUCAGGAAACUGGGGCUAAUACCGGAUAGGAGCUCCUGCAGCAUGGUGGGUGUCGGAAAGUUUCGGCGGUUGGGGAUGGACUCGAGGCUUAUCAGCUUGGUGGGGGAGUAGUGGCUUACCAAGGCUUUGACGGGUAGCCUGCCUGAGAGGGUGAACAGCUGCCAUGAGACUGAGAUACGGCCCAGAAUCCUACGGGAGGCACCAGUGGGGAAUCUUGCAAAGUAGGCUGAAGCCUGACGCAACAACGUCGCGUGCGGGAAGACGGCCUACGGGUUGUAAACCUCUUUCGACUGUGACGAACAGUGAGUGACGGUAAUGGAUAAAGAAGCCCCGGCUAACUACGUG